CUCAGAAGCGCACACAUGCAUGAUGGGAAAGUGGUGGGAUGGAAGAUGUUGAACUGGACUCUAUAUCAAUGGUCAGUGGGAAAAACCAGCAAUAUCUAAAUAAUGACCUGUAAUAAUACCAUUGAAACAAGAAGAGUGUGCUUACUUAAGGGGUAUCUGGUUUUUAUGUUCUGUGAUUGAGGAUAUUGAAGACAACCAAGAAGGAGAUGAUGGUGAUGAUGGUUCACCGUGAAACAUGAACACGCAGAACCCAUUGAUGACCUGGAAGGUGUUGGAGUUGUCAUCACAGGUGUGGAAGUGUUUCACAACCUUAGGAGCAUUGCAUAUGCAUAUGAUAUUAUCACAUUUCCUAUGUGGCUGAGCUGUUAUAAUUAAGGUUUUGGAAUGGUUUUAAUUUUAGAUGAUUGAUAAAAGGGAAAAAGAGAAUUUAUAAGUGAUUCCUGUGUAGUGUAUGUGUGUUUAUCCUUUGUAUGUAGCUGUUUUUUCUGUUCAUCCUAAUUUGAAAAUAUUGUCAUUGCAGAGAAUUGCUGGGUUUCUGCAGGUCCCAUAUGAUUAUCUAAUGUAUUUUUUUGAAAGCGGUACAUAUAAAUGACAGAUGUUGAGAAGUUUUAGGAGUGAAUAGAAAGUUAAUUGUUAAUUGUGUGUGUACCUGUUUUAUCUGGGAUUUCAGCUGAUGAUUAUUAUACAGUUGAACUGUGACGUGGGGAUUUUCUGUAUUUUUUGUAUUGCUAACAAAUAAUGUGAAAAUGCCAUAAAGCAGCAAUGUAUUAACAGGUAUUGUCUGUGUUUCCAAACAUUGUCAUUGAGUUGUUAAGUGGGUCUUUGAUAGGAUCUAUUGAUAUGAAUACAGAAAAGCAGCAUCCCUGUAACCUCAGGAUAGAGGAAGCCAACUGAAUAACUGUUAGAGUGAACUGGGGCUCAUUUUCAAUGUAUUUUUCAGAAACAGUAAAACAUUGUCAACAGAUUGAAAUGUUGAUUUUUAUAUAGUAACACAAAUCUGUUGUUAGGUCAUUUAAACACAGGUAGCUCAGCAGGUUGGGUCUAUAUUGUUUGACUGCUUAAUAAAUGGAGUUUUUCACAGAGCCAAAGUAGUGCAGUUUGAAUUUACUUAACUACACUGUGUGGAAAUUGUUGACAGAAUUUGUUUUAGUAAGUUCAACGUAACAAAAUCCAGUGGUUGUCGCACUCAUUUAAUUUUGUUAAGUUGAAACUACAAGUAUAGUUUAGUUUCUAACUGAAUAUAGCUGAGCGAGUUAAGUAAUGAAAUAUCUUUAUGUUGGUGUUAAUUAACAAAGUUACAUAAAUCAGAAGAAACUAUUUUGUUGAA